GAUGGGCUACAGAUAAACUGCCCAAGGAGGGAGCAGAGCUGGGAUGAGAAUCUGAGUCUGUCUGAUGAUUCCCAUGCCUGUGCGGUCAACGCCAAGGGGCAGUGGUUCUGAACCACAGCAUUUCUGCCUGCCGGGCCAACCCACUUCCUAGCCCGGUCACCAGGGUAACCAUCACCCCCACCUUGACAGUCAAGUGCGUAAGCAGCUUCUUGCACCCACAUCCAGGGCCACGGGACCCAGCCCUAUAAUCAGCCUCCUGCUGCCUCUGCACACAGCCAGCAGCGACAGUCAGCCAGCCAGCUCCCUGCUCUCCGGGCCCAUCACCCCAUCACGGUUCUGCAGACACCCCCUCCCCACGCUCACACACUGAGUUCUGCUUCCCUCGCCCACUGCCUCCCAGGAGACAAAUGUGCAAUCUGCUCUUGGCGUGUAUCGUCACCUCUGGAGGGAGCAAUCUGCCCUCGAGUGGAGGCCCAACCCAACACACGGCCCACACAUGAGAAAAAACACCCCCUUCCAGAGGAGGGGAGCCUUGGCAGUGAACGCCCUCUCCCCGUCCAGAGACAGCUGAGGGGGCGGCUGGAGGGUAGGAAGAGUUUGCAAAGUGAUGAUCAGAAGAGAGGCUGAGGCAGCGGCUAAUAGGGAGGAGUACCUGGGGGAAGCGGGCACCCAGAGCCUGCUGCUAAUGAAGCAGCUUCUUACCUAGAAAAUCAGAGCCCCUCCAUCACCACAGACGCCUGGAGUCUGUCCUGGUAGUUAAUGAGGCUGAGCGCCCUCUUCAAGGACCCUACUAGAACAGUUACAUGAGGCUGGGUGGCUGGAGCCAUGGAAUUCCCUCCAGGACUUCAAAAGGACCACCUCCAUCCAGUUCCUCCAGGCCUACUCAAGUGGCCCCUGCCUGGCUGCUCUCCUGUGAGCUCCUUCCUCCACUGUUGGAGCUGAUCAGUGCUCCCCACCAGCUCUCUCCUGACCUCUGUCCCAGACACCCAGCUGUUUCCCUCCUCACUUAU
rnacentral:lncRNA from 1 species